CUGAUCUUGGUCCCUGGUUUUCUGCAAGGACCUCUACAGAGACCCCAGGAAGACCAUUGAGAAACCUCACAGUCCAGUGGUGUUUCUGCAAUAUACACAAUAAAAAGGUGAGAAACAACCCAUCAACUUCUGAGUAACUACAACAUCAUCUUAAGUACAUUAAAGAGCUCCCAGGAAGGAGGAGCAGAUUUCUGAUUCCCUGAAGGCAAAUGAACAUAUGGAGCCUGGAGCAUAUUUUUAAGUGAAGCUCCUGCUGUGCCAGAGGAUUUAUUUGUGUGUGGCUAUUUGUUUCUGGGCAUUGGAUUAGACUACUGAAGGAACGGUCUGGGAGGUAAGGAAUGCUGGGAACAGCUUUGUGUUAGCUCUGCUGAGCUCUAGUGCCUGGCUUCCAAAGUCCUCGUUCUACCUAGCUCUCAGAUUUUCCAAAGCUAGCUGUCGAUGACAUAGGACACCACUAUUUUAUGAGAAGUCCUUGCUCUGCCCAGUUCUUGGUAAUCUUUCAGGCACUUCCUCUUGCGCGUCUGCCUCAGUGCUAUGCUGAGCAAAGGGUGAAAAGUGUCUUCUGCAAAAUUCACUGAUUUAUAUCUAGCGUGUGAGCGCAGUACGGCCUUAUAAUGAAAACUCUGUGUGUCUUAGCAAGCUCUUUGC